rfam:Citrus sinensis cultivar Ridge Pineapple sweet orange scaffold02334_contig_1, whole genome shotgun sequence.
UACUCAUGAUGUGGACACUUUAAGAGUAGUCCAUUGAAUCGCUCCCAUGUUUCAAAAAACUGCUCGUCUUCUCUCUGGGUAAACUCUGAGAUUUCCUUGCAAAUAGCA